rnacentral:rRNA from 1 species
AUUGAACGCUGGCGGCAGGCCUAACACAUGCAAGUCGAGCGAGCGGCGGACGGGUGAGUAAUGUAUGGGGACUGCCCGAUAGAGGGGGAUAAAUACUUGAAACCGUAGCUAAUACCCCAUAUUAUCGGAUGACCCCUCUGGGAAUGGCUAGUCGGUGAGGUAAUGGCUCACCUAGGCGACGAUCCCUAGCUGGUCUGCGAGGAUGAUCAGGCGCACUGGGACAGAGAGACGGCCCAGAGUCCUACGGAGGUAGCAAGGGGGAAUAUGGCACAAUGGGCGCAAGCCUGAUGCAGCCAUGCCGCGUGUAUGAAGAAGGCCUUAGGGUUGUAAGGUACUUACAGUCGGGAGGGGUUACCGAGAGAAGAAGCACCGGCUAACUACGUGCCAGCAGCCGCGGUAAUAC